GUCCCUGACCCAGCUGAAGCUCUUCCCCAGGCACAUGAGGAGGAGGAUGGUCUGGGGCCACACCCAGGGACAAGAGGUGGGGGUGGGGGAGGGUUCCAUGUCUCCUCUCUGCAGACAGACCAGAUAGACAGCAGUGCCACCGAGUGUUAUCAUCAGAGCUGGAAACAUGAAGGCUCUGCUGUGACCCUGACACCAGCAGCAUGUCAGCCCUGUGUCCCCACACACCCUCCCAUCCUCUGCUCUGCAGAACAUCUCUUCUCAUUGCCACCACCUUCCCUCUCCUUUCAGAUGUCCCUGUCCUGCCCGGAGGUUACCCAGCAGAUGGCUAUGAUGAUGCUGGGGAGGUUUCUUACCCUGGGGAGGAUCCUGUCCCUGGGCAGAGGGACUGGGAAGUGCCCAGGACACCAGAGGAAGGAGAUGGGCCCAGGGAUGCAGCCACAGGGGGAAGCCUGCACUCCCGGAGAAGUGCUGGGGUCCCUGGGGCUGAUGGAGACACCUCGUCACUUUUCCUGGACACCACGGGCUAUGACGAUGUUGAAGAGGUGUCUCUGGCAUAUCCCCAUGAGGACACCCAGGAUGUGACACCAGAGCCCCAUGCACAAGAGUUCCAGAGCCCCAGGCCAGCAGAGCCCAGCCCUGCUGAGCAGCUGGGUGCAGCCGGGAGGGAGGAGAGCUCAGUGACCCUGGGAGAGCCGUGAGUGCCAGGGAAUGGUCUCCCUUUUCCAGCAGGCAGCAGACACACAUGGGUAUUUCCCCUCUUGGUAUUCCCCUAUUUUUAUGCUGUGUGUUUGUAUUUCCUCAUAUUAAAACCCUCUGGGGGCUUUGCCCCAGAUCAAGUGCUUCCCUGCCCAGGUGUCAGGGUGUCUCCCUGAGGUGGAUGGAGGGGAGAAGAGCUCAAAUAUUCAGCGGUUUGGAAGGAGCUCAUCCUAGAGCCAGCAGGAUCGGGGUCUGGCUUUGGGGCUGACAAAGCCCCUGGUCCCUGGACACUAUUCCUACUGACAGAGACAUUUCCAUCCUGCCAGGCACAGGCAGUUUCCAGACAAAGUGGAUCUCUGGGAAUCCCCAAGAGACACUCCCUUGCAGUGCCCACCUUCUGCUGCGUUGGGCCCCCACGGAGAUACCUCAGCUGCAAGAGCUGAACAGGGAGAUGUCUUGGACCCUUGGGCAGGACUUGGCACCAGCUCCUGCUGGUGUGUCCCCACAGCCCUCCAGGUCUUCCCCAGCAGGCUCCUCUGCUGCAGGCUGGGAGGUGCUUUUGGUAGUGGGAUGGUGGGCUGGAACACCUAUUGGAGCAUCUAUUUAACCCCUUUGGGUCAGCUGUCCUGGCUGUGUAUAGUCUCCUUUGGGUGAAGAACUGGCUGGAGGGCCAUGCCCAGUGGUUUGUGGUUAAUGGAGUUAAGUCCAGUU
rnacentral:lncRNA from 1 species